GGCUUUAUUUCCUUCCAGGCACCAUUUUUAUAUUUAGCAAAGCAAUAUGGCCAAGCACCAUAAGUAAUAAAGAUACAUUUUCUACAAAUUGCAUGGCCCACUUAAGAAAACACUAUGCAGGAGAACUGGAAAGGACAGAGAAGAAUCAAUAAACAUUGAGAUGGCUAGACAUGCCAGAUCUGACAAUAUGAAUUGAACAAACUAGGCCAUCAUAACAAGGAUAUUUGUAAAGAAGGCCAAACGGGUUGAAGUAAAGAUACAAUUUUCCUGGACUUGUUCAUAAGUGCUCCUAGAGGAGAAACAGUGAAACAUCUGAAUUAUUGAUCAGCUGUCAGAGAUCACUGAACAGCUGGAGCUACAUGCUUGCCUUUCCAAUGCUGAACAAUAAGUCCUUUCACUAUUCGCUAUAAAUAAGAACAGAAAAUCCACUUUUUAUUUAGUUCCUAUGCGACUGAGAUAAACUUCAGAAGAAUAUAAACAUCUGAAAAUAUUAGAUCUCAAAGCCUUCCUGUUUGUCUUUUCUUCCUGAUCUGAAAAAUCUACAUCAGAAGAAUUCCCUCCUGAUAUCUUCUCCUGGGUUUCAAUUAAAAUACAAAAAUGCAGGAAAUCAUUUUCUGCUGGAAAUGGCUAGAGAGAGGAUUGGUAUGAGUCUCCUGCCAUCCAUUAUACAAUCAGCAGCCUUUUCACUAAGGUAAAAAAAAUCUUCCUCUGAACUCCAUCCUGAUAAUGUCAUUGUAAAUAUUCCCCCUUUAGGAAAACAAAACAAAACAA